rnacentral:rRNA from 1 species
CCUACGGGUGGCAGCAGUGGGGAAUAUUGGACAAUGGGCGAAAGCCUGAUCCAGCCAUGCCGCGUGUGUGAAGAAGGCCUUCGGGUUGUAAAGCACUUUCAGUGGGGAAGAAAGCCUUGGGGCUAAUACCCUCGAGGAAGGACAUCACCCACAGAAGAAGCACCGGCUAACUCCGUGCCAGCAGCCGCGGUAAUACGGAGGGUGCGAGCGUUAAUCGGAAUUACUGGGCGUAAAGCGCGCGUAGGCGGUCUGAUAAGCCGGUUGUGAAAGCCCCGGGCUCAACCUGGGAACGGCAUCCGGAACUGUCAGGCUAGAGUGCAGGAGAGGAAGGUAGAAUUCCCGGUGUAGCGGUGAAAUGCGUAGAGAUCGGGAGGAAUACCAGUGGCGAAGGCGGCCUUCUGGACUGACACUGACGCUGAGGUGCGAAAGCGUGGGUAGCAAACAGGAUUAAUACCCCAGUAGUC